AGAGUUCGAUUAUGGCUCAGGACGAACGCUGGCGGCGCGCCUAACACAUGCAAGUCGAACGGACACAUCCGACGGAAUAGCUUGCUAGGAAGAUGGAUGUUGUUAGUGGCGGACGGGUGAGUAACACGUGAGCAACCUGCCUCGGAGUGGGGGACAACAGUUGGAAACGACUGCUAAUACCGCAUACGGUGGUCGGGGGACAUCCCCUGGCUAAGAAAGGAUCUAUGAUCCGCUCUGAGAUGGGCUCGCGUCUGAUUAGCUAGUUGGCGGGGUAAUGGCCCACCAAGGCAACGAUCAGUAGCCGGACUGAGAGGUUGAACGGCCACAUUGGGACUGAGACACGGCCCAG
rnacentral:rRNA from 1 species